CCCUAUUAAUAACUUACUUCCAGGGUUGGAAAAUACGAACACCAGUUUAAACACCAAAGAAUUUGGCGGUGUCUUAUUCAAUUAGGGGAUCUUGUCCUAUAACUCGAUAAUCCAUGAAUGCCUUAUCUAUUUUUGAAACUCAGUUAUGCACUGCCGUCUAAAGUAUACCUUUAUGAGAGUAUACCAUCAAUUAUAACUAAUCUAACGUCAGGUCAAAGUGCAGCUAAUAAAUAGAAAGAGAUGGGUUACAAUCUUUAUAUAGAUACGAAUUAAGGAAUUACAUUUUCUUAUGAAGGUGGACUUAACAGUAAUUAGACUCCUAAAAUGAACUUAAAAUUAAAACAAGU
rnacentral:rRNA from 1 species